AUGCUCGCUUUGGCAGCAUAUAUACUAAAACUGGAACAAUACAGAGAAGACUAGCGUGGUUCCUGCAUAAGGAUGAUAUGCAAAUUCAUGAAGUAUUUAAUAUUUUU